rnacentral:rRNA from 1 species
AGCAGCCGCGGUAAUUCCAGCUCCAAUAGUGUAUAUUAAAGUUGUUGCAGUUAAAAAGCUCGUAGUUGAAUUUCGGGGUUAGUAGGUUGGUCAUGCCUCUGGUAUGUACUGGUCUCACUGAUUCCUCCUUCCUGAUGAACCUUAAUGCCAUUAAUUUGGUGUUUUGGGGAAUUUGGACUGUUACUUUGAAAAAAUUAGAGUGUUUAAAGCAAGCUAACGCUUGAAUACAUUAGCAUGGAAUAAUGAAAUAGGACGUUCGAUCCUAUUUUGUUGGUUUCUAGGAUUGACGUAAUGAUUAAUAGGGAUAGUUGGGGGCAUUAGUAUUCAAUUGUCAGAGGUGAAAUUCUUGGAUUUAUUGAAGACUAACUACUGCGAAAGCAUUUGCCAAGGAUGUUUUCAUUAAUCAAGAACGAAAGUUAGGGGAUCGAAGACGAUCAGAUACCGUCGUAGUCUUAACCAUAAACUAUGCCGACUAGGGAUCGGAUGAUGUUAAUUUUUAAUGACUCAUUCGGCGCCGUUA